GGCACACCACCAGAGCGUUACCAUACGUUUUGAAUAACAACAGAGGAAAAAACAAACCAUUAACGACUACAGCCACGAGUAAAGUGAUUUUCAUCCAAUAAUUUUUAAACAGUCAAACAUUCUGUGGAUGGUUGGAUGUUAAUGCUCAAAGUUUUUUUUUGUUUUGUGUGUGUUUUAUUUUUUUUGUUUGAAAAUGAGUGUAGAGUAUUGAAAGUAUACAAUUGUGCUGACUGACUGAAUGUGCUGAGCUGCUCAACAGCAAUGUAAACGUUACUUUAGCAGCAAAAACGUGACACAAACUUUGCCAAUGUUAAUAAAAAGAAAACAAAGCGAUAGAAGAAAUGGUAAAAAGUUGGAAAAACCGGAAGUCAGCAAAAUGGCAAAAGUAGAACCAAUGAAUCAACAGAAAAUACAUAUUAAACGUUUACUUUAUGGCCAUACAAACACAUUCAUACAUGCGGAAUGAAUGUAUUAUUAAUAUUUGCAGCAUAUUUUUAGGGGUAA